rnacentral:rRNA from 1 species
AAAAUACCGCUCAUUAUCAUUAACCCUCCCCCACUAUUGGAUGACUCCAUAACUUAUGGAAGACAUUAUGCUUAAAUCAGUAACAAGAAUUUGAAAUUCUCCUAAUGUAAGUAUCAGCCGUAACGGACCCACCAACGGCAAUUAACGUCAAUAAACCUAGUUCAACAACACUCGAGAAAAACCUGCACAACCUAACGUUAACCUUACACAAGAACAUUUUAGGAAAGAUUAAAAGGGAGAGAAGGAACUCGGCAAAUAACAACCCCGCCUGUUUACCAAAAACAUCGCCUCUUGCUAGAAUAUAAGAGGUCUAGCCUGCCCAGUGAUCUUUAAACGGCCGCGGAACCCUAACCGUGCUAAGGUAGCACAAUUACUUGUCCUUUAAAUGGGGACCAGAAUGAAUGACAUCACGAGGGUUGUACUGUCUCCUCCCCCCAAUCAGUGAAAUUGACCUCCCUGUGAAAAGGCAGGAAUAAGAAUAUUAGACGAGAAGACCCCAUGGAGCUUUAGACACCGAACAAAUCCUGACCUACACUCCCCCUAGUCUAAAAUAUGUGUUUCCAAGUCUUCGGUUGGGGCGACCAUGGAGUAUAAAUUAACCUCCACGCCGAAUGGAUAAUUCCUUAUCUAAGGGUCACCACCCUAAGAAACAGAAUACUGACGCUCACUGAUCCGGAACCCGAUCAACGAACCAAGUUACCCUGGGGAUAACAGCGCCAUCCAUCUUGAGAGUUCAUAUCGACAGGUGGGUUUACGACCUCGAUGUUGGAUCAGGGUACCCUAGUGGUGCAGCCGCUACAUAAGGUUCGUUUGU